AUUAUGAUCCGUUCGCAAGUCUCACCGCAGAAGCCCAAAGUCAGCAAAAGUGCUUUUAAACUGUAAAAACUUGGACAGUGAGUCAAUAACGAACUCUCUCCUCCUCCUCCAAAGCUUCAAACUUUCAGCUCGUCUCCGUGGAGUUGAAAUCUCCAGUCCAGCUCAAGAUCUAGGGGUUCUUUCAGUCAUGGAGGAGAAGGUAGUCGCUGUAAUCAUGGUGGGCGGGCCCACCAAAGGCACUAGAUUCCGGCCUCUUUCAUUCAACACUCCGAAACCGCUUUUCCCAUUGGCCGGGCAGGCCAUGGUGCACCACCCCAUUUCAGCUUGUAAAAAGAUACCUAAUUUAGCUCAAAUCUAUUUGGUUGGAUUCUAUGAAGAGAAAGAAUUCGCACUGUAUGUGUCUUCCAUUUCCAAUGAGCUCAAAGUGCCAGUGAGGUACUUGAGAGAGGACAAGCCUCACGGUUCCGCCGGCGGACUUUAUUACUACAGAGAUAUCAUCAUGGAAGACAGCCCGUCUCAUAUCUUUUUGUUGAAUUGUGAUGUUUGCUGCAGUUUUCCACUUGUAGACAUGCUUGAGGCUCAUAAAAGAUAUAAGGGAACAGGUACAAUGUUAGUAAUUAAGGUUUCUGCAGAAUCUGCGAACCAGUUUGGGGAGUUGGUUGCUGAUCCUGCCACCAAAGAACUAUUGCAUUAUACUGAGAAGCCAGAGACUUUUGUGAGCGAUUUGAUCAACUGUGGUGUAUAUGUAUUUACUCCAGAUAUUUUUACUGCCAUUCAAGAAGUCUCCAGUCACCGAGAAGGCAGAGCUAAUUUGCGUCGUGUUUCCAGCUUUGAAGCCCUCCAGUCUGCAACAAGGACUCUUCCCACAGAUUUUGUUAGAUUGGAUCAAGAUAUUUUGUCACCUCUUGCUGGAAAGAAUAAACUGUAUACAUAUGAGACCAUGGAUUUUUGGGAACAGAUCAAGACUCCAGGAAUGUCUUUGAAAUGUUCGGGUUUGUAUCUUUCUCAAUUCCGAAUUAACUCCGAACAUCAUUUAGCUAGUGGAGAUGGUACCAAGAAUGCUAGAAUUGUUGGUGAUGUUUAUGUUCAUCCAUCGGCAAAAGUACAUCCAACUUGUAAGAUUGGUCCCGAUGUGUCUCUUUCAGCAAAUGUUCGUGUAGGUGCAGGAGUAAGGCUUAUAAAUUGCAUUAUCUUGGACGACGUGGAAAUCAAGGAAAAUGCAGUUGUUAUAAAUGCUAUUGUUGGAUGGAAGUCGUGUAUUGGAAAAUGGUCGCGUGUCCAGGCUGACGGAGACUACAACGCAAAGCUUGGAAUUACCAUCCUUGGAGAAGAGGUGACAGUUGAAGACGAAGUUGUGGUGAUCAACAGCAUCGUUCUCCCAAAUAAGACUCUUAACGUUAGCGUACAGGAGGAAAUCAUUUUAUAAUCUCCAAGAGAGAGCUUGCUUCCUGGUUUUCGGUUGCUGCUCGUGUUCAUGCUGGCUUGAUACGAGCAUGUUACCCGUACAAGUAAUAUGCAUGUUGGUUCGAAUCAGAGGAAAUUUGGAUUGCCAAGAAGCCAGAGGAGUUAUCGGUACAGCCACCCCCAAGAUCUUUCGCCCCCUUAGCUGCUCCCUUACCAUGUGAUCUGCAUAUUGUAAGUUUUAAGGUUCACCAACCUCUAGAAUACACUCAGCAACCUCUCGAAGAUUCUAGGUUUGCCCAAAUCUUGCAGAGACAGAACUGGGACUCUUCAUAUAGUCGGAAGGGCAGAUCAGGUGCACUAGGUUUGCUGAUGAGGCUGUGAAUCUCUCUUACAUGUUCAAGGACCUUGCAGUAUUGAAUGCAAGAGCUACUUCCUUAAAUCUUUUACACGAGGACACUGAUAUGCUUGGAUAUACUGAGCAAUUCGGAGACAUUGCUCAAGACAGGCACGUUCUUAUGUCUCCAAUGGAAAUGCAGGCUUACAAGUUGGAAUUGCGGCCGCGGAAAUGAAUGUACUUGAAACAGAUUUUCUUACUGUAUUUUCAUGGUUGUUUUUUCAACAGGGUUCUUAGCUAAACGCAAUGAUGUGUCCUUAUCUCUCCCGUGGAAAUGCAGGCUUACAAGUUCAAGUUAGGACCACACGGGCUAAGGUACUAGCGACCGAUUUCAUUACUGCAUUCUCAUGGAAGCUUCUUCAAUGGGAACCAUAUAUCUGUUGCCAAGUCAGGGCAAAGACGAUUCGUACGAGUAGCGAUACAGUCAAAGCAACCAUCCCUGGUUUCCCUUGCGAGCGAGUCGACUGAUAGACUUUCCCUUGGGAUUCACUUUGUUGUAAAACUGCUGCUAACAAUUAUGCAUGAGAUUAGUAUUUGUGCUGCUAACGAUUGAUAGACUAGUAUUUGUGUGUUCAAAAUGAUAUUGAGGCUAAGGACUCGUUUGGAAGUGUUUAAAAGCC